AAAUUACAGCUUCCCAACGUUUCAAGUUCGUCGAAUUCGGUUACUUCAAAGUUUUCGAAUAGCACAUUAAUGUUUUUAUCUCAAUAGCUGAGCGACAAGAUAAUCGACAAAGAUUAUUGGCUCCAGAGAGGCUUGAACUUUAGAUCUCGCAUUGAGAAUUGCAGCGACAAAUGCUGCACAUGAUCAGACACUUUUAUAGAGUCACUUUUACUGCGUCCUACUUGAGUGACACUUUUAUAUUGUGAUCGUCAGCAAUAAAACGAGUGUGAAAUAAG
rnacentral:lncRNA from 13 species